UUAUGUGCAUGCCUUUAACCUUAGUGCAUCAUAUCCCAUUAGAAAUUCGUAGUUAAGUGUGCUUGGGAUAGACUAGUACUAGGAUGGAUGAUCGCCCAGGAAUUCCUAGUGUUUUACAUGCC
rfam:Picea glauca, whole genome shotgun sequence.